AGAGUUUGAUCAUGGCUCAGGACGAACGCUGGCGGCGUGCUUAACACAUGCAAGUCGAACGGGGUCCAUCCUUCGGGAGAAGACCUAGUGGCGAACGGGUGAGUAACACGUGAGAAACCUGUCCCGAAGUCUGGGAUAAGCCAGGGAAACUUGGUCUAAUACCGGAUGUCCUUGCCGAGUCUUAUGUCUUGGUAAGGAAAGUUUUUCGCUUUGGGAGGGUCUCGCGGCCUAUCAGCUUGUUGGUGAGGUAACGGCUCACCAAGGCUUCGACGGGUAGCUGGUCUGAGAGGAUGAUCAGCCACACUGGGACUGAGACACGGCCCAGACUCCUACGGGAGGCAGCAGUGGGGAAUCUUGCGCAAUGGGCGAAAGCCUGACGCAGCAACGCCGCGUGAGGGAUGAAGGCUCUCGGGUUGUAAACCUCUUUCAGCAGGAACGAAAUUGACGGUACCUGCAGAAGAAGCUCCGGCCAACUACGUGCCAGCAGCCGCGGUAAUACGUAGGGAGCAAGCGUUGUCCGGAUUUAUUGGGCGUAAAGAGCUCGUAGGCGGCUUAGAAAGUCAGAUGUGAAAACUCCAGGCUCAACCUGGAGACGCCAUUUGAUACUUCUAUGGCUUGAGUUCGGUAGGGGACCAUGGAAUUCCUGGUGUAGCGGUGAAAUGCGCAGAUAUCAGGAGGAACACCGAUGGCGAAGGCAGUG
rnacentral:rRNA from 1 species